ensembl:lncRNA
AUGUCGAUGGAUCCCCUCUAUAGCCCCGAAUUCCUUCUCCUCAUGCUGAAGCAGGAAGGACGUUCUCUCGAGGACCAUACCAGACAGUUUCUUCUAUUAGCUAAUGCCACCAGCUACCCGGACGACGCGCUCUGCACCUUCUACAACACCAGCCUGAACUCCAAGUGCAGAGCGUUGUCGCCCGAAGAUGGUCCUCGGGAGGAUUUCGCCGCAUUCGUGGAGUGGACUCUGGCGAGAAAUGGCUCACCUUUCACCGUCUGCCCGAUAGAGGAUCUCGCCAGUCCCACUCCCGACCCAGAGACCAGCCAGCCACCAUCUCGCUACACGGAGCCAGAGCCCACCGCAGCCGCAGAGCCUGAGCCAUUCACCGACAGGGAGCCGGAACUCGAGAGCGCGACUGACCAGGUGUGUGAGCCGGCAACACCGUGCAUCAUGGGAGUCCUCGUGGAGAUCGAGGGCGUGGAGGAAAGCCCUGCCCACACUCCUGCGACUAAGGGUGAGCUGUAUACAGUCUCUGAAGGUCAUAUGGAGCAAGUUCUGGAUCUGAUGGACUGGUCUAUGGAGGUAAUCCCUAAUUUUCCUGUUUCCCCGCUGGUUCCGUCCAGCCCUGAUUCCCCUGUAUACCCUCUCCGUCUCCAACUCCUACCUCCUCCAGUCAUUUCCUCUGCUCCAUUUCCGCUGGUUCCAUCCAGCCAUGAAUUUUCUGUUUCUCCGCUGGUUCCGCCCAGCCCUGAGUUUUCUGUUUCUCCGCUGGUUCCGCCCAGCCCUGAAUUUUCUGUUUCUCCGCUGGUUCCGCCCAGCCCUGAGUUUCCUGUGUCUCCGCUGGUUCCGCCCAGCCCUGAGUUUCCUGUUUCUCCGCUGGUUCCGCCCAGCCCUGAGUUUUCUGUGUCUCCGCUGGUUCCGCCCAGCUCUGAAUCUUCUGUGUCUCCGCUGGUUCUGCCCAGCCCUGAAUCUUCUGUCUCUCCGCUGGUUCCGCCCAGCCCUGAAUCUUCUGUCUCUCCACUGGUUCCGCCCAGCUCUGAAUCUUCUGUGUCUCUGCUGGUUCCGCCCAGCCCUGAAUCUUCUGUGUGUCCGCUGGUUCCGCCCAGCUCUGAAUCUUCUGUAUCUCCUGUGCUCCCUCCAGGCCUCCCUCUCCCACCUCCUCCAGGACCUGCUGGUCCCUCUGCUCCACUUUCGCUGGUUCCGUCCAGUCCUGAUCCUCCUGUCCUUCCUCCCAUCCUUCUCCUCUCUCCUCCUCCUAGACCAGCCAGUUCCUCGUCAUCCCUGCUGGUGCCAGUCAGUCCCGCAGCUCACCCUCAGUCCGCGCCAUCGGGGCGCGGUGGUUCGCCGCUGGACUGCCAGUCUCCAGCUCCGCCUUGGCAUGUUAAGGCCCUGUCUCCGCCUCCAGCCUCCGAGCCCUGGACUCCUCCUCGGUCCUUCGACCCAGCGGCUCCGCCUUGGCUCUUAGCUCCCUCGUCUCCACCGUGGCCUGUCAUCCCACCUGCUCCACCGGGCUCCCUCAUCCCUCCGGCUCCACCUUGGUCAGUCGUCGACCAUCCGCCGCCUCGGGACUCCACUCCUCCGGUUCCACCUCGUCAUUCCAUCCCUCUGGCUCUGUCAGGCUCCUCCUUCCCUCCGGUUCCACCUCCAUCCUCGGUCACUCCGGCUCCACAGCGGUCUGCCAGGACCCUGCCUCCGCCUUGGUCGCCUGAGCCUUCUGCUCCACCUAGGCCCUCCGGAACCUCGACGUCCCCCUGGCUCUGCGGCUGUGCUGCUCCAUCUUGGGCUCCUCACCCACCGGUGCAGUCUCCGCCUGUCGGCCCCCUGGUGUCGUCGACCCUUCCUUCACCAUGGCUCCUCCUGCCGUCGACCCCACCUUGGAUCUCCGUCCUGGCUGGUCUCUGGUGGACCAUCUGGCUCCUCCUGCUCCUGUCUCCUCCCUGGCUCCUCCCUCCGUCGUCUCCUCCCUGGCUCCUCCUUCUGUGGUUCCUGUCUGCUGGCCCCCUCCUGGGAGUCCGUCCUCCACCGGAACCUCCUCCCAAGUUCCCACCUACGCCUCCCUCUGUUGUUUCUACGGUGCGAGGACGCACCUACCGGGAGGGGGGAGUACUGUCACACCUGGACUCAUUUAGUGUGUUUUUGCCCGUGACCCAGUUUGUGUCUUUCAGUGUUUGGUUUGAUUAG